rnacentral:rRNA from 1 species
AUGAUUCAAAAUUCGUCAAGCUCAUCUAGAGAUCCUAAUGACCGGAGCAUUUGGGACCUAAUUUGGAAGGCAAAAGUUCCCAGAAAAAUUCGUAUCUUCGGUUGGAGGGUGGCCACAAAUACGCUCGCCACAAAGGAGAACAAAUGGAAGAGGACCCUUGAGAUAGAUGCAACCUGCGACAUCUGCGGUAAUGGUGUAGAAGAUGAGUUCCAUGAUGUGAUCUCAUGCACAAAAAGAAGGAGCCUAAGACAUGCUAUGAGAGAUGUCUGGAAUUUACCUGUAGAAAAUAGAUUUUGGCAUACAUGUGAAGAUUGGUUGCAAGUUCUUCUCGACACGGAAAAUGAGGAUACACGAGCCAAAAUCCUGCUACUUCUCUGGCGCUGUUGGUUCCUCAGGGAAGAUUGCAUCCGCAAUGAUGGCAAAGAAUCAGUCAGCAGGAAAUGGGCUCCCCCUGCUGAAGGAGCUGCCAAGAUCAACUCCUAUGCUGCCUUUUUAGCUGAUACCGGAGAGAGCUCUGCUGGUGCGGUUGCAAGAGACAGCAGAGGACAAGUGAUCGUUGAGACAGAUAACCUGAUCGUGGCAAAGGAAUUGGCCAGUCUGACCCCCUCACGUUCACCACUCUAUGGCCUUCUAAGGGACAUUCAGACUGCUACUGCGGCAUUCGACACAUGCAGUUUCAGCUGUGUGAGGAGAGACAUCAAUAAGCUUGCACAUGGACUAGCAGCUUUGACCAGGAGCGAUGGAGAUCAAGUGGUGUUUGCAAAUGUCCCGGACAGCCUGAGACCACUGAUGAUUUCGGAAUAUACACCCGACCGUACUGGUAACUCUGAGUAG